rnacentral:tRNA from 1 species
GCCGGGGUAACCAAGUGGAUCACGUUAUAGGCGUACAAAAACGGUGCAGGCCUGGAGAGCCUGUGAUCCGAAAGGAUCGCGCGAGUUCGAAUCUCGCCCCCGGCGCCA